rnacentral:rRNA from 1 species
AGCUUGCUUCUUUGCUGACGAGUGGCAGGACGGGUGAGUAAUGUCUGGGAAACUGCCUGAUGGGGGGGGAUAACUACUGGAAACGGUAGCUAAUACCGCAUAACGUCGCAAGACCAAAGAGGGGGACCUUCGGGCCUCUUGCCAUCGGAUGUGCCCAGAUGGGAUUAGCUAGUAGGUGGGGUAACGGCUCACCUAGGCGACGAUCCCUAGCUGGUCUGAGAGGAUGACCAGCCACACUGGAACUGAGACACGGUCCAGACUCCUACGGGAGGCAGCAGUGGGGAAUAUUGCACAAUGGGCGCAAGCCUGAUGCAGCCAUGCCGCGUGUAUGAAGAAGGCCUUCGGGUUGUAAAGUACUUUCAGCGGGGAGGAAGGGAGUAAAGUUAAUACCUUUGCUCAUUGACGUUACCCGCAGAAGAAGCACCGGCUAACUCCGUGCCAGCAGCCGCGGUAAUACGGAGGGUGCAAGCGUUAAUCGGAAUUACUGGGCGUAAAGCGCACGCAGGCGGUUUGUUAAGUCAGAUGUGAAAUCCCCGGGCUCAACCUGGGAACUGCAUCUGAUACUGGCAAGCUUGAGUCUCGUAGAGGGGGGUAGAAUUCCAGGUGUAGCGGUGAAAUGCGUAGAGAUCUGGAGGAAUACCGGUGGCGAAGGCGGCCUCCUGGACGAAGACUGA